GUAAUCCCAGCACUUUGGGAGGCCGAGGCAGGAGGAUCGCCUGAGGUCAGGAGUUUGAGACCAGCCUGGCCAACACGGCAAAACCCCAUCUCUACUAAAAAUACAAAAAUUAGCCGGGUGUGGUGGUACAUGCCUGUAAUCCCAGCUACUUAGGAGGCUGAGGCAGGAGAAUCACUUGAACCCAGGAGGCAGAGGUUGCAGUGAGCUGAGAUCAUGCAACUGCACUCCAGCCUGGGCGACAGAGCAAGUCUCCGUCUCAAAAAACAAAAAACAAAACAAAACACGAAAACAGAAAUGCAAUCCUGGAGCUGGUGUUUGGACUUCCUGGAUAAUACAGAGAUGGUCAGAUUGGCCUGCAUCAGCCCAAAUGGUUCCAUGUUCUUCUUUUUAAUGGCUGCAUAGUACUCCUUUGCAUGGAUGCACCACAGUUCAUUUAACCAGAGUCCUGUUGGCAGGCAUUUCAGAUGUUUGCAAUUUUUCUGUGAGACCAACACCACUGUGAUCAGCAUCCUGAAAGUCACAAAUCACUACAUAAGGACCUGCUGUAACCAGUCUGACCUCAUCUUGAUUACAGCUGCAAAGACCCUAUUUCCAAAUAGAGCCACAUUCUGAGGAUCCAGGGUGACAAAUUUUGGGAGGAUAAUAUUCCAUCUGGCACAGAAGGGAAAAGGGAAGUUUUUGUCUGAAGAAGGGGCUUGUCUGGAGUUGCUGGAGAGCCAGUGGGAUUGCAUCUUUUGCAGAGGACAGGUCCUUAAGGGCAAAAUCGCUUAAGAGUCAAAAUGGCCUUGAAAAUUCCUUGGGAAGCCGUCAUGUUGGAGCCAACCACUAUUUCUCAAUAAUUUCAGCACAGCCAGUUUUUCCUCCUGCGUUGGGACGGAUCGCUGUUUCUCCUGUCAAGCUCCAGAUACAGUAAAGUCUUGUGUUUAGGGGCCACACAGUGGAGUGGGACACUCACAGGCAGAGGGAGGAACCAGGUGCUCCUACUCAGAGACACGUGGGACCCAACGGGAGGGUUUGGCUUGGAAGAGACACCUUCAAAGUGAGUGGUGUGGGGAUUUCCCCAUCAUAUAAUGUCCCCUUUGGGGUGUGAGGGGCAAAUGUGUUUAGUUAAGUGGAUCUUAACUCAGUUAAAUUAAAUUCAUGUAUGAUGUGAGACCAGCGUGGAAAGGUCUUACCUCUUGAUUAACCAAUUGUUCUUCCCCAGUCACUCCAUUGCUCCUCUUUGAGCCAUCCAAAAAGUCACCUCAUCUUUCCAGACCUCAGGGUCCUCAUCUGUAAAUUGGGGGGCAUGUGGACUUGGACAGAAUGGGCCCUCUCUGUCACUUGGAGAGUCUGGGAUUGUAAGCUGCCCUCCGGGAGAUCAAAACACCACACGAUGCAGGUGGCACUGGACAGACGCGGGACACAGGGGCUCUGCUAAGGUCCCUGGUGCUACAGAAGAGGACGGUGAUCACCAGGCCCAGGAAGGAGGGUUGCUGGGAAUGAAGAUCGCAGCCACGCUGCACGAUGCAAGGCUAAGGUGCACGCAGUGCGCUGUGGCUUCAGGUCCCGAAAGCACAGGCCUGGGACAGCUUUUCCAGAUGGCAAGUCUGCUUUCUCCCAGCCCCAACAUGCCUUUCUGAAAUGUAAAGCAGCCCAGUCCUGGCCUCAGAAUGCUGGGGUGAACAACUGGAGAACGGGGUUCCAGCCACUGCAGAUGAAUCCAGAGGCACUAGAAACACAGAGAGAGCAAGAAGGAAAGGGAGGGGACACGAGG
rnacentral:lncRNA from 1 species